CGAAAGCCUGACGGAGCAAUACCGCGUGAGGGAUGAAAGCCUGUGGGUUGUAAACCUCUUUUCUCAAGGAAGAAGUUCUGACGGUACUUGAGGAAUAAGCAUCGGCUAACUCUGUGCCAGCAGCCGCGGUAAUACAGAGGAUGCAAGCGUUAUCCGGAAUCACUGGGCAUAAAGCGUCUGUAGGUUGUUUAGUAAGUCUGCUGUUAAAGACUAGGGCUCAACCCUAGGCCAGCAGUGGAAACUGCUAGACUUGAGUAUGGUAGAGGUAGAGGGAAUUCCUAGUGUAGCGGUGAAAUGCGUAGAUAUUAGGAAGAACACCAAUGGCGAAAGCACUCUACUGGGCCAUAACUGACACUGAGAGACGACAGCUAGGGGAGCA
rnacentral:rRNA from 1 species